ensembl:lncRNA CCDC26 CCDC26 long non-coding RNA
GCUACAGUGCUACUGGCCCAUAAUCAGGCAACUGCAGAGUCUUAGGGGGUUAUCUAAUGUAGUCUUGGGGUGGCUGGAUAGACUUCCCAAAGAAGGUGAUGCCGAAGCUGAGGUCGGAAAUUACGAAGAUCAGCUAUCAAACUUGGAAAUCAUGUCUUAGAGAUCAAGGAGCCAAGAGAUGAGACAAGCCUGGGUUCCUAGGUGAUAGGGUGUGGCUGUGUCCCCACCCAAAUCUCGUCUUGAAUUGUAGCUCCCAUAAUCCCCACAUGUUGUGGAGGGACCCUGUGGAAGAUCUUUAAUAAAUGAAAUAAAUGUGACUGUAUGUCCUACAUCCCAUUCCUGUUGUCUUCCAUGUCUCCUCAGAGAUUGUGCCUGCAGCCUGGCCUGUUGCCCACAGCGGUCUACCUGCCACACUGGGAAAGAUCGAGCAGAGACAGAGAAGAAAAGGAGGCUCCAUUUUUCAGGCUGCUCUCCCGCAGGCUCAUGUUUUGUGUUCAUGCCAGGCAGAGAACACAAAAUGUUCCAAUAAAUAAGUAUCAAAGAUGUACCCAUAGGGUCAAGCUCCAGCACAGAGACCCAUCCUGGGAUGCAGGACUUGGUGCCAGGGAAGUCCCAGGUAAACCAAAUGAGUUGGUCAUCCUACCUGGGAAGUGUGUGACCUAACAUAAGUUAUUCUGUGUACCUGCUCAGAUCUUGAAGAAGCUGACAGCUGGAAGCUGUCUGCUAACACUUUCCUUUACCUGGGAAUCAGGUCCCUCCCUAGAAUGUGGUCCUGGGGCAGUGCAUCUCCAGGACUACCACUUUUACCUUUGCCAUAGUUAUUAUACCCAUUUCUAGAAAAAGAGAUUAGUCUCAAUAAAUUUCAGUGCCUUGCGUGAGGAUUAGGGAUCUCUAACAUCAAAAUUUGAGCCUGUGUGUAUUAUCUACGUAGAUAAUUCUUGUUCACUCCUUUCAGUUUCUUUAUUGUAAUUGGCUCUGAAAUUCUUAAAAGGGUCAGUGGGCCUGUCUUCAAAGAUAGCAUCAAGGAGAGAUUGAGGGAGGUAGGAAUAUUCUGCCUUGUCCAGCUUAAGGAAGAGGGAUCCUGGAAGAGCAGAUAGGUGGCAAAGCUUUAAAUAGGGAUGGUGAGCACCACAACUCAUUGGGUCUAUGGCAAGAAAGGAGCUGAAUUCUGGACCUGGCUUGGGAGCACUGUUAGCCCUGAGAGCACGUUUGUUGCAAGGCUGUGUGUCUCCAUAGGCAGCUUUCCUCCUUGCUUGUAUUCUUGAACCCACAUUUUAUAAGCCAGCAGUGAGCAUAUGCUGAAUGCUGUGGAAUUGUUUAUGAAAAGCUUUCCCCUCUUUCCUAGAGAGCGAAAAGGUGAAAGGGGAUCUGUUAAUAGCAAGAAAAGGAAGUGGUUGAAGUGCAUUCCAUGAUUCCUUGGCCUUUAAGCCUGAAGAAGUUAAAUAAUUUGAUGCACAGAGCCUGACUACAAUUCUAAUGAGCAAGCUGGCAGAGAAAAUUAAUGAUAAUAAAUUAAUUCCAGAGAAUUCCAUUUUAUGUGCUCAAUUAUUAACGGUAUUGCAGUGUUAUUAAUGGUGUCAAUUAUUAAUGGCAUGAAUAAUUAAGAAAGCACAUCCAUGUUAUGAUGUACAAGGCUUCUAGGGUUGGGCAAAUUGCUCAGAAUAAAUAAAUAAACAUGUCAGGGUUCAGACCUAUAACAUGUUUCAGGACCCAGCCUCCAACAUGUUUCCU